AUUGAACGCUGGCGGCAGGCCUCACACAUGCAAGUCGAACGGGUGGCGGACGGGUGAGUAAUGUCUGGGAAACUGCCUGAUGGAGGGGGAUAACUACUGGAAACGGUAGCUAAUACCGCAUACCAUCAGAUGUGCCCAGGUGUGAUUCGCUAGUUGGUGGGGUAACGGCUCACCAAGGCGACGAUCCCUAGCUGGUCUGAGAGGAUGACCAGCCAAACUGGGACUGAGACACGGUCCGUACGCCUACGGGAGGCAGCAGUGUGGAAUAUUGCACAAUGGGCGCAAGCCUGAUGCAGCCAUGCCGCGUGUAUGAAGAAGGCUUUCGGGUUGUAAAGUACUUUCAGCGGGGAGGCGUUAUCCGCAGAAUAAGCACCGGCUAGCUCCGUGCCAGCAGCCGCGGUAAUUC
rnacentral:rRNA from 1 species